AGGACAGUAGCUCAAUUGGUAGAGCAUCGGUUUCCAAACCCGAGGGUUGCAGGUUCGAGUCCUGUCUGUCCUGCCA
rnacentral:tRNA from 1 species